rnacentral:lncRNA from 1 species
UUUUUGGCAUUUAGAUAUUUAGUUUGUGAGAUAAGAAGAAAAUUGCACAUAGGUGUAUAAAAACUAGGGUUUGAAGCUACUGUUAGGAUUUUGGUGAUAUCUUAAGAUUUGUGAAGAAUUUGUAAUUGAAAUUUGUUGUGGGAGUUGAUAAGAAUACAUCAAUACUUCAUUUAAAAUUUGAAUAAGUUUGGAUAGUCGAAUUAGGAGAUAUGAGGUAUUGAAGUUUGAAAAAAUUUCUACAUAAGAGUAAACAAGGUUUUAGAAGAUUUUAUCAUAUUUUGGGUGUUGGUUACUUGAGCCUUAUGUAUUUGGUGUAAUUGCUUUAAUAAGGAAAAUUUUAUAUAUAAACUUAGGGCUUUUCUUAUUUUA